UACGUAGGGCGCAAGCGUUGUCCGGAAUUAUUGGGCGUAAAGAGCUCGUAGGCGGCUUGUCACGUCGGGUGUGAAAGCCCGGGGCUUAACCCCGGGUCUGCAUUCGAUACGGGCUAGCUAGAGUGUGGUAGGGGAGAUCGGAAUUCCUGGUGUAGCGGUGAAAUGCGCAGAUAUCAGGAGGAACACCGGUGGCGAAGGCGGUGGUCUGGGCCAGUACUGACGCUGAGGAGCGAAAGCGUGGGGAGCGAACAGG
rnacentral:rRNA from 1 species